rnacentral:rRNA from 1 species
GUAGGUGGCAAGCGUUGUCCGGAAUUAUUGGGCGUAAAGCGCGCGCAGGCGGUUCUUUAAGUCUGAUGUGAAAGCCCACGGCUCAACCGUGGAGGGUCAUUGGAAACUGGAGAACUUGAGUACAGAAGAGGAAAGCGGAAUUCCACGUGUAGCGGUGAAAUGCGCAGAGAUGUGGAGGAACACCAGUGGCGAAGGCGGCUUUCUGGUCUGUAACUGACGCUGAGGCGCGAAAGCGUGGGGGGAGCAAACAGGAUUAGAUACCCUGGUAGUCCACGCCGUAAACGAUGAGUGCUAAGUGUUAGGGGGUUUCCGCCCCUUAGUGCUGCAGCUAACGCAUUAAGCACUCCGCCUGGGAGUACGGCCGCAAGGCUG